rnacentral:rRNA from 1 species
UACGUAGGGUGCAAGCGUUGUCCGGAAUUAUUGGGCGUAAAGAGCUCGUAGGCGGUUUGUCGCGUCUGCUGUGAAAACUCGGGGCUUAACCCCGGGCCUGCAGUGGGUACGGGCAGACUAGAGUGCGGUAGGGGAGAGUGGAAUUCCUGGUGUAGCGGUGAAAUGCGCAGAUAUCAGGAGGAACACCGGUGGCGAAGGCGGGUCUCUGGGCCGUAACUGACGCUGAGGAGCGAAAGCGUGGGGAGCGAACAGG